rnacentral:lncRNA from 1 species
UAGGUUCUGUUAUCUUUAAAAACAGAGUAAUAGCUUUCUUCUGUAGAGUACAUUGUUGCCUGCCUAUAAUGUAGGGAGGUCAUCAGCACCUCUGAAAGAUGAUGCAGUGAUUUGUAUUAAUAAGUUACUACCUUCUAGACUUGAUUGUCUGAGUGCACAUAAGUAUACAGGGAAUGACUGAAGUCAUUCACUACCUCUGAACACACAUGGAUACUUCUGGAUAGGUAUUGUAAAUAUUUGGUUUAGGUAUGUCAUUUUUGGGUGGCAAAUACUUCUUCCUUCUGUGCAGCUAUAUGAUUUGUGUUACACGUUAUUUUAAGCAGUGCAAAAAUCAACAGUAAAGCUUUCACACACCCUUCAGAUCAUUUAAAUUGGAUGUUGCAUGAAGAGCAAUCUGCAAGAAGCUAAGGUGAUACAUCUUCCCACUUAGACCCGCAAAACUGCACAAGAGACUUAUAACUGAGACACAGCCUGAAGAAAGUUAAGGAAGUUGUUAGUAGUCUCUGUCACAAAUGAGAAGACUCAUUUGGUUGGUCUUUUCUGGUUCUGGUCUUUUCUUCAGACUUUGAUGAAACUACAAAGUACAGAAAGUUGUUUUUGCUGAGGGAGCAGCAUCUGUAAGAAGAAAAAGAGAAACUUCAAGCAAAACAAAAAAAGCUAGAGGAAGCCAAUGAGAAGAACUAUAGUUGGUUAUGACUAAUCUGCUACAAGCUUAAGUUUUCUUGUUACUUAAUGGGUCUUUUAACUUAAUUUAUAGAGUCCAUUGAAUCUAUUUCUUCUUAAUUUCUUUUGACAGUUAAGACUUUUUUUUUUUUUUUUUUUUUUUUCCAUAAAGUAUGUGAAGCUCAUGUACUUUGGCUAAGAAAUCUGUUAGCAUCUGGAGUAACAGUACAACAACAUUCAGAUUUUUUAUGAAAUAGAGUAUUUGCAGGAAGAUGGAUCCCAGCCUAUUAAAACUAAAACUUGCAGGAAGAUAGGGACUCUGAUGUAUCAUCUGUCAAGGUGGAGGUUCCAUAGACUCAGUGAUUCACCGAUAUUUGGAGACAGCACAAGACGCAAAAAUAACCUGUCCUUCCGUUACACUGCUAACAGAAGAUGCAGCUAGCAAUUCCCCAAACCUCUUUCUAGUCUUUCUCUGUUGAAUUCAUGUAACAUGUCAAAGAAAUGAUUUUUGUCCUUGAUUAUUGCAGUACAAUAAAAAGCAUUGAAAACACA